rnacentral:lncRNA from 1 species
UUUUGACGCAUUUGAGGCUUGAAAUCAAGAUUGAAGCAUCAUCUAAUGGAUUCAACACGCACCAAAGCACAAAACUCAGGUAACCACCGAUUUAAAUUCGUUUUUUCUUGCUAUCAUAGGCUCUGUUUUUCGCAGGUGUUCUGACAGUAACCCUUCGGGGAAUAUAAACCGAAGUCAAGUUAUGUGACCUUCGGUUUAUACGAACCGAAAUGUUGAUCCUCUGCGUUAGGCUUAGGCUUGGCUUGACUUGACUUCAUAUUGACUUAUAAACUGUACUUCAUAUGGACUUGGCUUUAUUUUGGCUUCAUAUUGACUUCAUAGUGUCCUAUGUGUUUAAUUAGUGUUGUAAUAGGAUUGUAAAUAUUAUGUGUGGUUGAUUGAUUGUUUUUUCAUUUGCGUAUGCUAUAGUUACGGAAGGCGAAAUUAACGAAGUUGUCGAAGUUAGGCGACCUGUUGUGCUUGGCCUUUUUGCAACGGCCAUUGUUCCAUCUGGUCAACCAAGAAGUCCUCCUAAUGUGCCGCAACCGAUAGAAAUUGACACAUCGUCUCAUUUUGCGACUGAUAGGGAAGAGAACGACAGAGAUGAGUUG